rfam:Canis lupus familiaris chromosome 21, whole genome shotgun sequence.
AGGGGGAGCAUAGGAUCCUGGGCUGUGUCCCCCAGCGCCCUGGGCUCCGGGGCCUGCGCCGCUGGAAUCGCGCUCCAGGGUCCCGCAGCCCCCU